UGAACGCUGGCGGCGUGCCUAAUACAUGCAAGUCGAGCGAACGGACGAGAAGCUUGCUUCUCUGAUGUUAGCGGCGGACGGGUGAGUAACACGUGGAUAACCUACCUAUAAGACUGGGAUAACUUCGGGAAACCGGAGCUAAUACCGGAUAAUAUUUUGAACCGCAUGGUUCAAAAGUGAAAGACGGUCUUGCUGUCACUUAUAGAUGGAUCCGCGCUGCAUUAGCUAGUUGGUAAGGUAACGGCUUACCAAGGCAACGAUGCAUAGCCGACCUGAGAGGGUGAUCGGCCACACUGGAACUGAGCCACGGUCCAGACUCCUACGGGAGGCAGCAGUAGGGAAUCUUCCGCAAUGGGCGAAAGCCUGACGGAGCAACGCCGCGUGAGUGAUGAAGGUCUUCGGAUCGUAAAACUCUGUUAUUAGGGAAGAACAUAUGUGUAAGUAACUGUGCACAUCUUGACGGUACCUAAUCAGAAAGCCACGGCUAACUACGUG
rnacentral:rRNA from 1 species